GCAGUCGAGCGGACGGAUGGGAGCUUGCUCCCUGAAUUAGCGGCGGACGGGUGAGUAACACGUGGGCAACCUGCCUGUAAGACUGGGAUAACUUCGGGAAACCGGAGCUAAUACCGGAUAAUGCAUUUCCCCUCAUGGGGAUAUGCUGAAAGAUGGUUUCGGCUAUCACUUACAGAUGGGCCCGCGGCGCAUUAGCUAGUUGGUGAGGUAACGGCUCACCAAGGCAACGAUGCGUAGCCGACCUGAGAGGGUGAUCGGCCACACUGGGACUGAGACACGGCCCAGACUCCUACGGGAGGCAGCAGUAGGGAAUCUUCCGCAAUGGACGAAAGUCUGACGGAGCAACGCCGCGUGAGUGAUGAAGGUUUUCGGAUCGUAAAACUCUGUUGUCAGGGAAGAACAAGUGCCGGAGUAACUGCCGGCACCUUGACGGUACCUGACCAGAAAGCCACGGCUAACUACGUGCCAGCAGCCGCGGUAAUACGUAGGUGGCAAGCGUUGUCCGGAAUUA
rnacentral:rRNA from 1 species